rnacentral:rRNA from 1 species
CACCGCGGUUACACGGGUAACCCAAGUUGUUAAACCACGGCGUAAAGAGUGAUUAAGAAAUACUUUAUGCUAAAGCCGAAUACUUACAAAGCCGUUAUACGCACCUGAAAGUAAGAAGCCCAGUCACGAAAGUGGCUUUACAUCUUCUGAGCCCACGUAAGCUAUGAUA